rnacentral:rRNA from 1 species
AGAGUUGAUCCUGGCUCAGGAUUAACGCUGGCGGCGUGCCUAAUACAUGCAAGUCGAAUGGUAGUAGCAAUACAAACCAUGGCGAACGGGUGAGUAACACGUAGGUAACCUGUCUUUAAGACGAGGAUAACCGUUGGAAACGACGGAUAAUACUGGAUAGGACAUCACAAAGGGCAUCCUUAGAUGUUUAAAGAUUAUUAUGUCACUUAGAGAGGGGCCUGCGGCGCAUUAGCUAGUUGGUGAGGUAAGAGCCCACCAAGGCGAUGAUGCGUAGCCGGACUGAGAGGUUGAACGGCCACAAUGGAACUGAGAACGGUCCAUACUCCUACGGGAGGCAGCAGUAGGGAAUUUUCGGCAAUGGGCGCAAGCCUGACCGAGCAACGCCGCGUGAACGAAGAAGUUAUUCGUAAUGUAAAGUUCUUUUAUCUGGGAAGAAAAACAAAUUGACGGUACCAGAUGAAUAAGCUCCGGCUAACUACGUGCCAGCCGCGGC